AGAGUGAACGCUGGCGGUAGGCCUAACACAUGCAAGUCGAACGGCAGCACAGUGGUAGCAAUACCAUGGGUGGCGAGUGGCGGACGGGUGAGGAAUACAUCGGAAUCUACCUUUUCGUGGGGGAUAACGUAGGGAAACUUACGCUAAUACCGCAUACGCCCUUCGGGGGAAAGCCGGGGAUCGCAAGACCUGGCGCGGAUAGAUGAGCCGAUGUCGGAUUAGCUAGUUGGUGAGGUAAUGGCUCACCAAGGCGACGAUCCGUAGCUGGUCUGAGAGGAUGAUCAGCCACACUGGAACUGAGACACGGUCCAGACUCCUACGGGAGGCAGCAGUGGGGAAUAUUGGACAAUGGGCGCAAGCCUGAUCCAGCCAUACCGCGUGGGUGAAGAAGGCCUUCGGUUGUAAACGCCCUUUUGUGGAAAGAAAGCAAUCGGUUAAUACCCGGUUGUUCUGACGGUACCAAGAAUAAGCACGGCUAACUUCGUGUCAGCAGCCGA
rnacentral:rRNA from 1 species